GACGAACGCUGGCGGCGUGCCUAAUACAUGCAAGUAGAACGCUGAAGCGAUGAGCUUACUCUUCUUGGAUGAGUUGCGAACGGGUGAGUAACGCGUAGGUAACCUGCCUUGUAGCGGGGGAUAACUAUUGGAAACGAUAGCUAAUACCGCAUAACAAUGGAUGACACAUGUCAUUUAUUUGAAAGUGGCAAUUGCUCCACUACAAGAUGGACCUUCGUUGUAUUAGCUAGUAGGUGAGGUAAUGGCUCACGUAGGCGGCGAUACAUAGCCGACCUGAGAGGGUGAGCAGCCAGACUGGGACUGAGACCCGGCCCAGAGUGAUACGGGAAGCAGCAGUAGGGAAUCGUCAGCAAUGGGGGCAACACUGACCGAACAACGCCGAAUGAGUGAAGAACGAUUUCGGAUCGUAAAGCUCUGUUGUCAGGCAAGAACGGGUGUGAGCGUGGAAAGUUCACACUGUGACGGUAACUGACAAGAAAGCAACGGCUAACUACGUG
rnacentral:rRNA from 1 species